rnacentral:rRNA from 1 species
GUGGACCAUCAGCUAGUUGGUAGGGUAACGGCCUACCAAGGCGAGGACGGAUAGGGGGCCUGAGAGGGUGACCCCCACACGGGCACUGAGACACGGGCCCGACUCCUACGGGAGGCAGCAGUAAGGGAUAUUGCGACAAUGGGCGAAAGCCUGACGCAGCAACGCCGCGUGGAGGAUGAAGGCCUUCGGGUUGUAAACUCCUUUUCUGUGGGAAGAGGAAGGACGGCACCACAGGAAGAAGUCUCGGCUAACUACGUGCCAGCAGCCGCGGUACAACGUAGGAGGCGAGCGUUAUCCGGAUUUACUGGGUGUAAAGCGCGUGCAGGCGGUCUGGUAAGUCGAGCGUGAAAGCUCCCGGGUCAACCGGGAGAGGACGUGCGAAACUGCGAGGCUAGAGACAGGUAGAGGCGUACGGAAUUCCGGGUGUACGUGGUGAAAUGCGUAGAUCUCCGGAGGAACACCAGUGGCGAAGGCGGUACGCUGGGCCUGGUCUGACGCUAAGACGCGAAAGCAUGGGGAGCGAACGGGAUUAGAAACCCCGGUAGUCCAUGCCGUAAACGAUGCUAACUAGGUGUUGCAGGGUAAAAGAACCGGCAGUGCCGGAGUUAACGCAGAUAAGUUAGCCACACUGGGGACUACGGUCGCAAGGCUAAAACUCAAAGGAAUUGACGGGGGCCCGCACAAGCAGCGGAGCAGUGUGGUUUAAUUCAGAGGCAUACACAGAAGAACACUUACACUGGGCUUGACAUGACAGGUGGUUAGGGAACACGAAAGGGGACCGACCUUCGGGAGCCGUCACAGGUGCUGCAUGGCUGUCGUCAGCUCGUGUCGUGAGAUGUUCGGUUAAGUCCGGUAACGAGCGCAACCCUCAUCGCUAGUUACAAGUGUCUAGCGAGACUGCCCGUUCAACGCGGGGGGGAGGCGGGGAUGACGUCAAGUCAGCAUGGCCUUUAUGUCCAGGGCUACACACACGCUACAAUGGCCGGUACAAUGGGUCGCCAACCCGCGAGGGGGAGCCAAUCCACCAAAGCCGGUCACAGUUCGAAUUGCAGGCUCAACCCGCCUGCAUGAAGUCGGAGUUGCUAGUAACCGCAGGUCAGCUAUACUGCGGUGAAUACGUUCCCGG